GAUGAACGCUGGCGGCGUGCCUAAUACAUGCAAGUCGAGCGAACAGACGAGGAGCUUGCUCCUCUGACGUUAGCGGCGGACGGGUGAGUAACACGUGGAUAACCUACCUAUAAUACUGGGAUAACUUCGGGAAACCGGAGCUAAUACCGGCUCAUAUAUUCAACCGCAUGGUUCAAUAGUGAAAGACGGCUUUGCUGUCUCUUAUAGAUGGAUUCGCGCCGCAUUAGCUAGUUGGUAAGGUAACGGCUUACCAAGGCAACGAUGCGUAGCCGACCUGAGAGGAUGAUCGGCCACACUGGAACUGAGACACGGUCCAGACUCCUACGGGAGGCAGCAGUAGGGAAUCUUCCGCAAUGGGCGAAAGCCUGACGGAGCAACGCCGCGUGAGUGAUGAAGGUCUUCGGAUCGUAAAACUCUGUUAUUAGGGAAGAACAAAUGUGUAAGUAACUAUGCACGUCUUGACGGUACCUAAUCAGAAAGCCACGGCUAACUACGUG
rnacentral:rRNA from 1 species